rnacentral:tRNA from 1 species
GGAAUGUAGCUCAGUGAUAGAGCACUUGCCUAGCAUGCAUGAGACCCUGGGUUCAAUCUCAAGCACCA